ACAGGCCUACGGGGGGCAGCAGUGGGGAAUAUUGGGCAAUGGGCGCAAGCCUGACCCAGCAAUGCCGCGUGAAGGAAGAAGGCUUUCGGGUUGUAAACUUCUUUGACAGGGGAAGAGCAGAAGACGGUACCCUGAAAACAAGCCACGGCUAACUACGUGCCAGCAGCCGCGGUAAUACGUAGGGGGCAAGCGUUAUCCGGAUUUACUGGGUGUAAAGGGAGCGUAGACGGCAGUGCAAGUCUGGAGUGAAAGACGGGGGCUCAACCCCCGGACUGCUCUGGAAACUGUACGGCUGGAGUGCAGGG
rnacentral:rRNA from 1 species